rnacentral:tRNA from 1 species
GGCGUAGCUCAGCUGGUUAGAGCAGCGGUCUCCAAAACCGCAGGUCGCGGGUUCGAGUCCUGCCGCCC